rnacentral:tRNA from 1 species
AUUUUAUUAGUUUAAAAAAAAAACAUUAACCUGUGACGUUAAUAAUUAAUAUAUAUAAUUAAUAAAAUU